rnacentral:rRNA from 1 species
GUGAGUGGCGGACGGGUGAGUAACACGUGGGUAACCUGCCCAAAAGUGGGGGAUAACAUUUGGAAACAAGUGCUAAUACCGCAUAACAACUGCUUUCACAUGAUCGCAGCUUGAAAGAUGGCUCUGCUAUCGCUUUUGGAUGGACCCGCGGCGUAUUAGCUAGUUGGUGAGGUAAUAGCUCACCAAGGCAAUGAUACGUAGCCGACCUGAGAGGGUAAUCGGCCACAUUGGGACUGAGACACGGCCCAAACUCCUACGGGAGGCAGCAGUAGGGAAUCUUCCACAAUGGGCGAAAGCCUGAUGGAGCAAUGCCGCGUGAGUGAAGAAGGUUUUCGGAUCGUAAAACUCUGUUGUUGAAGAAGAACAUGCGUGAGAGUAACUGUUCACGUACUGACGGUAUUCAACCAGAAAGCCACGGCUAACUACGUGCCAGCAGCCGCGGUAAUACGUAGG